rnacentral:rRNA from 1 species
UACAGAGGUCCCGAGCGUUGUUCGGAUUCAUUGGGCGUAAAGAGCUCGUAGGCGGCUUGUUGCGUCAGCUGUGAAAACCCGCAGCUCAACUGUGGGCUUGCAGCUGAUACGGGCAGGCUUGAGUUCGGUAGGGGAGACUGAAAUUCCUGGUGUAGCGGUGAAAUGCGCAGAUAUCAGGAGGAACACCGGUGGCGAAGGCGGUUCUCUGGGCCUUACCUGACGCUGAGGAGCGAAAGCGUGGGGAGCGAACAGG